CCUACGGGAGGCAGCAGUGGGGAAUAUUGGACAAUGGGCGAAAGCCUGAUCCAGCCAUGCCGCGUGUGUGAAGAAGGCCUUCGGGUUGUAAAGCACUUUCAGUGGGGAAGAAAGCCUUGGGGCUAAUACCCUCGAGGAAGGACAUCACCCACAGAAGAAGCACCGGCUAACUCCGUGCCAGCAGCCGCGGUAAUACGGAGGGUGCGAGCGUUAAUCGGAAUUACUGGGCGUAAAGCGCGCGUAGGCGGUCUGAUAAGCCGGUUGUGAAAGCCCCGGGCUCAACCUGGGAACGGCAUCCGGAACUGUCAGGCUAGAGUGCAGGAGAGGAAGGUAGAAUUCCCGGUGUAGCGGUGAAAUGCGUAGAGAUCGGGAGGAACACCAGUGGCGAAGGCGGCCUUCUGGACUGACAUUGACGCUGAGGUGCGAAAGCGUGGGUAGCAAACAGGAUUAGAUACCCUAGUAGUC
rnacentral:rRNA from 1 species